rnacentral:rRNA from 1 species
AGCUCGUUUUACAUUUUACCUCACUAAGGAUAAGCUUAGUAAGGCCAUUAAAUAGAGAGUAUUUUGUCUAAACUAGUUACAUAGGCUUGAAAUUAGCCAUUGCUCUAGAACUUGUUAUAAAAUAACUUUAAUAUUUAGAAAAAUAAUUAUACUUAAUUCUACUUAAAACGGGGAUAAGCACGAAAAACUAUUGAUCUGGUCUAUUUAUGCUAGAAUGAGUAUUAAACAUGCCUAAUUUAACAGGUUAAAUCAAAAUAAAUAUACCUGUACUAAUAAAUAUAGAUUUUUUUUAUUAAAAAAUAAAAAUAAGGAACUCGGCAAACUUUAGCUCCGCCUGUUUAUCAAAAACAUGGCUCUUUGAAUCUUUAAUAUAAAGAGUCGAACCUGCCCAGUGAAAUUUUAACGGCCGCGGUACUCUGACCGUGCAAAGGUAGCAUAAUCAUUUGCCUUAUAAUUGAAGGCUCGUAUGAAUGGUUUGACGGGAGCACUACUGUCUCUUUUUUACUAAGUAGAACUUGACUUUUAGGUGAAGAGGCCUAAAUACAAUUGAUAGACAAGAAGACCCUGUCGAGCUUAAAAAAGAAUUAGAAGCAAACUAUAGUAUUUAAAUUAACUACUAAUUAACCUUUUUUGGUUGGGGCGACCAAGGAACAGAUAAAGCUUCCUUUUUCUAAUUGACUAAUAAGUAAUGAUCCAGUAAACUGAUUAAAAGAAUUAGUUACCGCAGGGAUAACAGCAUAAUCUCUCCUAAGAGACCUAAUCGAAGGAGGGGGUUGUGACCUCGAUGUUGGACUAGAGUAUCCUAAAGAUGCAGAAAUCU